rnacentral:rRNA from 1 species
CAGGGAAUCUUGCGCAAUGGACGGGAGUCCGACGCAGCGACGCCGCGUGGGUGAAGACGGCCUUCGGGUUGUAAAGCCCUUUUCUGGGGGAGGAGAGAGGACGGUACUCUAGGAAUAAGUGUCGGCUAACUACGUGCCAUCAGCCGCGGUAAUACGUAUGACACGAGCGUUAUCCGGACUUACUGGGCGUAAAGCGCCUGUAGGCGGUUCUUCAAGUCGUUUGUGAAAGCCCUGGGCUCAACCUGGGGAGGCCAAGCGAUACUGGAGGACUUGAGGGUGACAGAGGGGAGUGGAAUUUCCGGUGUAGCGGUAAAAUGCGCAGAUAUCGGGAGGAACACCAGUGGCGAAGGCGGCUCCCUGGGUCACCCCUGACGCUGAGAGGCGAAAGCUAGGGGAGCAAACAG